rnacentral:rRNA from 1 species
UACGUAGGGUGCUAGCGUUAUCCGGAUUUACUGGGCGUAAAGGGCGCGCAGGUGGUCUUUCAAGUCGGUGGUUAAAGGCUACGGCUCAACCGUAUUAAGCCGCCGAAACUGGAAGGCUUGAGUGCAGGAGAGGAGAGUGGAAGUCUAAGUGUAGCGGUGAAAUGCGUAGAUAUUGGGAAGAACACCAGUGGCGAAGGCGGCUUUCUGGAC